UACGUAGGGUGCGAGCGUUGUCCGGAAUUAUUGGGCGUAAAGGGCUCGUAGGCGGUCUGUCGCGUCGAAAGUGAAAACUCAGGGCCUAACCCUGAGCCUGCUUCCGAUACGGGCAGACUAGAGGUAUGCAGGGGAGAACGGAAUUCCUGGUGUAGCGGUGAAAUGCGCAGAUAUCAGGAGGAACACCGGUGGCGAAGGCGGUUCUCUGGGCAUUACCUGACGCUGAGGAGCGAAAGUGUGGGGAGCGAACAGG
rnacentral:rRNA from 1 species